rnacentral:sRNA from 1 species
UUGGAGGGCAAGUCUGGUGCCAGCAGCCGCGGUAAUUCCAGCUCCAAUAGCGUAUAUUAAAGUUGUUGCAGUUAAAAAGCUCGUAGUUGAACUUCGGGGUCUACCCAUUGGUCAGGCUUAAUUGUCUGCACUGGUGAGAUGGAUCUCUACCUUCUGAGGAACUUUCAUGCCAUUUAUUUGGUGUGGUUGGAAAUCAGGACUGUUACUUUGAAAAAAUUAGAGUGUUUAAAGCAGACUAUCGUCUGAAUACAUUAGCAUGGAAUAAUGAAAUAGGACGGACUGAUUCUAUUUCGUUGGUUUCUAGGAUCACCGUAAUGAUUAAUAGGGAUAGUUGGG